rnacentral:lncRNA from 1 species
AUUUCUCCUGCCCUGGGGGUGGCCUCCAUGAUUUCACAGCAGAUGGUGCAACCUGGACCUCAAGAGCUGGUAUGAUUGUGUUCAACAGGACAAAAAUGUGUGCAUUUUACUGGAAUUUUCACAAGGAAAUGGGUUUAAUGGAAGUUUCAUCAUAGAAGGAUGCACAUGUUGAGUUCCACUACCAAGUGUGCAUGCGCAUUUCAAGACCUGCACUAGGAGUGUGAGUGAGUCUUGUGAAGCUUUAAAACCAAGCAUGCUUUCUUCUCCAGGCCGGUAUAUACUUUGUAGAGGAAAAAAAAAAUCCUUUUCCUCACCCAUUGCUAGGUUCACAGCUGAGCAGCCCCCAUAACAAAAGACAGUUCAACAAGAGAAAAACAUACUAAUUUAUUUCAAUUUUUUGUGACACAGGAGCCUUGGCAAACGACCCAGAUGAAGAGAGAAACCUGGGAGUUUUUUGCUCAGUUUGGUGAGGAAGCACACUGUUGUGUGGCAGGCAGGGUGACCGGACAAAGGAGGUUUGAGCUAAUGGGAGUCAAUGGGGAGGGGGACUAGCAAGUGCUGUUAGGUCAGAUUCCUGUGUCCCUGUGUCUUCAGAGGUGAGGGAACUCUGUUCCUCCAGGUGGAAGGAAGGCAUUUCUGCAAAGAGCAUCAAUGACCUGCUCUGGCGAAGGAUGGAGGAAGGUGAGAGGGGCCUUCCCGCCUCUGCCGCGAGUGCUGCAUUUUGGGGUAGCAGGUCCUGAACCCCAUCAAUUUGCUGAUCUCUACAAAAUGGACUACUUUUAUCUUCAUUGAAAAUCCAUGGGGAUGCUUUGCUCCCUUUCCAGAUGUUCUCAGUAGGUGUCCCGGUGUCACCUGGUGCCUCCGGAGGACUCAGACAACUGCCAUGAAACCAGAGUGUUCCACUUGCGCGGGGAUAAAAUCUAACCCGAAACGUGGCUCAGCAACUACCCAGAAGUUUGGGCAGCAGCUACAAGAGUUAAAUAUUUACAUGGACCAGGACUUGUGGAAGGAACUUCAUUCCAUGUUAUUGUUACUUAGUUCCUUCUAAAACCUGGCCAGGGGGUAGCACAGGAAAGUUUGAUAUAGCUCUGAGAAGGUCCACAUCUCCAAGAUGGUGUUGAUUUCAAGAAGAGAUCAUUGAAAUGGUUGUCUCAAGUUCCUGUCCACUCCCCUCACUCCGUCCUUAAGUGCAAGGGGUUAGCUUUCAGCAGAACCAUGGGCAGUCAUGCUACUUACAUUCUCAAAUAAUUACCGGACCAUAAGGACAAUAUUUAGGUAAAAAUAAUUAGAACUAAUAAAAUCUGAUAAGAUGAUGGAUACAAAACUCAUUAUUAUGAAAAAGUCACUAGGUUCCAGUGAUAACUAUUUCAAUAUUUAAAAGGAGAAAAAAUUCUCUCACAUUACCAAAAUGAAUUAGUUUGGAAUUCUUAAGAAGUAAUCAGGGCUGGGGUUGUGGCUCAGUGCAGAGCACUUGCCUGGCAUGUGUGAAGCAUUGGGUUCGAUUCUCAGCACCACAUAUCAAUAAAUAAAGGUCCA